CGGCGGAGCCCGGGCGCCUCAGAGGGUUCUCGAGGCCCGUCGAGCCCGCGGAGGUUAAGUCCGCCGGCUGACGCCUCAGCUUUCGCCCCGCGCGCGGGUCUCGGGCUUCACGGAAAUGAAAACAAGCCAAGAGUAAAACAAAACCAGUACAAAUCCCCAAGUCAAAACAGCUACAAUCAAAUUCAAGGAAAGCAAAGGGUGAUUCCUGGAAACCCCUGGAAGCAAGCUGCUGCUGUUUGUUUUAUACCCUGGGCCGUUUGACUUGGAACAUUUCUGAAGUUGUUCAGUUCCUGCACAUCUAAAUGAACGGCUGUUUCUGGGUACAGUUACCUUCUCAGCUUACAUGCUCUGAUGAAGCAAGCUGCCCUGUUGGAAAUGGUCAUGUCACAAGGAGCUGAGGGAGGCCUCAGGAGGAGCUGAGGUCCAGUCCAACAUCCUGCAAGGAACUGAAUCUUCCCCACAACCACACGAGCUUUGAAGUGGAUGCUUCCUGACUGGAGACUCCCAGCCCUGGCCGACGCCUUGAUUACAGCCUUGUGGGGAGACCCUGAAGCAGAGGACCCAGCUAAGCCACACCAGACUCUUGACCCUCAGAAAUCAAGAGAUUGCCGGAGACUGUCCAUGAAAUCGUCUUCAUCCUUUGCGCUACCCUCUGACCUGCUCUAGUGUAAGGCCAUUCUUGGUGGGCGGGAGCGGAGGGGACAGUUAAAACCCUAAAUACCGUAUGGCAGUCCUUUCCCAGUUAUUUGGGGUCAUGUAAGACACUUCCAGGAAAUGCGAUUCCCCGGUUUUAUUUUAGGUUUUUGGCGGGGGUGGUGUGUGUGGAGGAGAAUGCCAGGACGGUACAGGAGUAUUUCUUAGUCCAGAGGACAAGCCUCGGGGACACGUCGGAAACACAGACUCCCGGGGCCCACCCCAGACCUACUGGUUGAGAAUCUGCAUUCUCAUGAGAUUCCCAGCUGCUUCCAAACUGUGCCUCUGAACUUUGAGAAGCAGUGACCCGUGCAGCCCUUUUCUGGCCUUCCUCAGGUGAUAUUGAUUGUCAGGAUUUGUGCCUAACGUUCACACCUCCUUGAUGUUGAAACUAGCAAUAAAAAUCCCACCU